rnacentral:rRNA from 1 species
AACACGUAUCCAACCUGCCGUCUACUCUUGGACAGCCUUCUGAAAGGAAGAUUAAUACAAGAUGGCAUCAUGAGUCCGCAUGUUCACAUGAUUAAAGGUAUUCCGGUAGACGAUGGGGAUGCGUUCCAUUAGAUAGUAGGCGGGGUAACGGCCCACCUAGUCUUCGAUGGAUAGGGGUUCUGAGAGGAAGGUCCCCCACAUUGGAACUGAGACACGGUCCAAACUCCUACGGGAGGCAGCCAUG